CCUGGGCUCCACACCCUGGUGUCGUCCCCUCCCACGUUGACUCGGAGCUUGGCUAUGCGACUUACUUUUGCUAAUGGGACAGCAAAUGGAACACAAGUGGAGAUUGGAAAAAUGAUUGCGAGUUGAGCCUUUCCUUCUCUCCUGCUGCUUUUGGAACCUGGCCAUGGUGUAAGGAAGCCAAAGCGGGUUUCUGGAGACUCACGGCCCAGCAAACAGCCAGCCUCCAUGACUAGAAGGUUCACCCCAGAUAUCUGUCUUCUUCUAGGAAGAGGGAUGUGUGUGUGCAGUAAAGACGAGGAGGAAGAGGGAGGGAUGCAGAUACACACUGAUCACAGAAGGAACUCCCAGAGAGAGACCCAGGUCUGGAGUCAGUGUUAACAACAGCAGAUCCAUUUUUUUAAAGCACCAUUUCUAUUCUGAUCCUCCUGGAUUGAGACUCUUCAAUGACAACUAUUACCUCCAGGGAGAAGGCCAAACGCUGCAUGUGGAAUGAUAUCCGUGUCCUCUACAGCCCCCUUGAGUUCACAUGUUGAAAUUCUAAGACCCAAUGUGAUGGUAUUAGGGGGUGGGGCCUUUGGGAGGUGCUUAAGUCAUGAGGGCAGAGCUCUCACGACUAGGACCCCACCGACUCCCUCACUUCCUCCACCAUGUGAGGUUAUAACGAGCAGUUAACCUGCAACCAAGCAGGCCUUCGCCAGAACUUGACUGAGCUGGCACCUUGAGCUUGGAGUCCCAUCCUCCGAACUAAGAAAUGGGUUUCUGUUGCAUGUGAGCCACUCAGUCUCAGAUAGUUUUAUCACAGCAGCCUGAAUGGACUAAGACAGACUGCAAAUAGAAAACAAUUUAACAAUGUGCAUUAGUCUCCUGUGACUACCAUGACAAACCCGGUGACUGAAAACAGCAGAAAUGUAUUCCUUCACGGUUCUGGAGACCAGAAGGCUGAAAUCAAUGUGUCCACAGAGUUGGUUCCUCCUGGAGGCUCUGAGGGAGAAUCCAUCUCCUG